ensembl:processed_transcript
AUUACUUACUGCCAAUCAAACUGUUUGGUGUCCCGUUAUGAUUGGUCAGGGCUUUCAACUCCUUUUUUCCACAUUUUUUCAACACAGAGCCCGCCUUACUGAUAUUAUCCAAUCACAAAUCGUUCAAAAGAAUAUAAUAAAAACGUAUUUGUAUAUUGCUGUCUUUUUGAUUGGGUGGGCAUGAGCUGGCCCUGUAACUUGGUUUGAGAUAUACCUGUUAUAUUGUUCAUGUGUUUGCAGUGUUCUAAGUGGAAAUAAAAGUGUCUGCUAAAUGCAGGAAUAUAAGUGUGAUGUAUUAUGUACUGUACACUCCAAAGCUGAUCUUUUCUGACAUGUUGUCAAUUCAAUGUCUUAUAGCCGUUGUUCGCGGUUCUGCUCACAAGAGAAGUUGGAGCAAAGAUGUAGAGCCUCCAAACAUGAGCUCUACUUCUCCUCUGAGGAUUCUUCUUCUGGGUAAAAGCGUGUCUGAGAACAGCCGUGUGGGAAACUUGAUCUUGGGUCGAUCAGCGUUUGACAGUGAAGCUCCUCCAGAUGUUGUGGAGAGAGUCGGAGGAAGACUGAAGUACAGACACGUGACGCUCAUCAACAGUCCUCAGCUGCUCCACACACACAUCUCAGAUGAUCAGAUCACACAGACGGUCAGAGAGUGCGUGAGUCUGUCUGAUCCAGGACCUCAUGUGGUGCUUCUGCUCCUCCAACAUCAGCAGUGUUCAGCAGAAGAUCAAGAGCGUGUGGAGAAGCUGCAGGACUCUUUCUCUGAGCGCCUUCUUCAACGCACCCUGGUGCUCAGCACACAAGAGCCCACUGAACCCAAUCAGAUCCUGCAGAAGAUCAUCCAGAAGUGCUCCAACAGACACGUCAGUCUUCAGACAAGCAGCUCUGCUGAUCAUCUUCUGCAGGCCUUUGAGGACAUCGAGCGGAGCAAUGAGGGACGACACCUGAUUACACCAGCUCCAUCUGGAGAAUCACUGAGAGAACAGUUUAAUGAGAGACUGAGAGAAGAGAGGGAGAGGAUGGAGAAAAAGAUGAAAAAGAAACAAGAAGAAAGACUGACAAGAGAGGAAGUGAAGAAAAACAAGGAGAAACUGAAAUCUAAACUUCAUGAGAGAGACCAAAGUUCAGUUAUAAAUCCAACAAUGGGUAAGACAUUUUUAAGAACUUUACUUUUCUUCA